UGUUGGCGGUCCAUGCGUGGCCCACGCUGGGUACCACGGAAUCGUCAUCGUUAUCACAAAGAGAGUGUUGAAAGGCUUGGUUCUUUGGGGCCUGGCUCGGCCCCUAAACAUAGUGUGGCCUUGUGGGGGUCCUCCCCCGCCCCCUGGACUUCAGUGUCCCCACCCUCCCCGUCUAGUCACCAGCAUCCUGUACGUCGUGGGGCUGUCACCAUGCAGCCAGGCGCGGAGCACACCUCUGACGAAGCACAAAGCCGGGGACCAGCCCCACAGGUGCUCUUUGGAGUCGGAGUAGUGAACUUUAAAACAAGCAGAUUGCCCAACAUACUCCACGGGUCUGUAACUGGAGUAGAGGGAGAAGGAAGAGUCAGAACCAGUGGAAGGGCAUCGUGAGGAAGACUCCGCUGGCUUUGAGGGUGAAGGAAGGGCCACAAGCCAAGGAACGUAGACAGUCUCUGGGAGCUGGAAAAGAGCAGUGAGUAUGUCUUUAAUCUGCACAUAUGACAACCGACUCUUGCUCAAAGUGGAGGGUGGGCAGAAAGAGAGCAAAACCGAGUUUCAGUCCCACCUUGGCUUGCUGGCCUUGAUGCUCCCCCAAGACGGAUGAAGCAAUUCCUCCCUCCUCGUUAGUGCUCAAAGCUGAGAGGUCUCAGACGAGCUAAUAAUGCCGGCGGGUAAGUCAUACCAGGUUCUCCGUAAGUGGCUGCAAUUAUUAUUAAUUUGGUGUUAAUUAGGAGAGACUCUAGAGCGCGCAUACCACAGGCACCGCGUGGUGGGUGCCCUCUGCCCCCGCUCACCCCCCGGGGUUCCUGAGGCCUAACUUUUCUCUGGGAGGGAUGGGGGAAACCAAGGGGUUAAAGAGGAGGCCUGGAAGCUGGCACAGCUGGGGACCCCUGGGUUAUAAGGAGAGGGGGGCGGGGGCCGGGGGGCCUGAGCGGCCUCCGUGGAGGAGACGUGGGCCGAAAGCUUUGUGCUUCUCCUUCCUGAACCCGGCCUUAACUCCAGAGGGGAGGCCUUCGUGUCUGAACUUGGUGUUCGAGCCCUGGCGCUGGUGGUUCCCGCAGUAAAUGGCUCGCCCUCCUCGUGGGGCAAUAUUGCUACUGAUGUUGGGCCAAGGUGGUUAGGAAACGGGAUCUUCCAAAUGGGGACUUUGUGGUCUGGCCACCAGGCAGCUGCGCCUCCACACGCGCAGGUGGGGGCUGAGACGGUUCCCCGCAGG